GCUGACUUCAAUGUGGAAGCUCAAAGUGGGUUGUUCCAGCAGCGAAACUAGACGCUCAUUGGAUAAAUGCUGGGCUUUGUCCCGCCCAUCGGAAGCCCAGCUUCACUGGAGUUCUAUGGCGAGAGGGCGGUCCUGACUUUCUCCCGGACUCCGAGCUUCUGCAUCCAUGAUUGGAUGAGCUGUCUGAGGCGAAAUCCUUUUUUGAUUGACAGCUAAACAAGCGAAUCAGCGAUCUUGAAGAAUAAAACAUCUACCAGAGCAUUUUCCAAGUUAUUCAUUCCGUUGUUCUUAACUGCUCCGGAGACUUUACCGAUCCUCAGCGACUUUUGUCUUUGUUAAAAACGACUGCCGUUGUGUUUGGCGACUCUGUUCUGUUACAUACUAAUAAACAAAUACAAUUUUGAUGUAGGCCAGAAAAAUGAGCUUCCCCUCCUUGAAAGACCAGCAGCCGCCACUGGUUCCGAGACACGCUGCCCCGCGGAGAUUAAAAAAAAGUGGUCGGACCUCAAGGUGGAGGUCAAGCGGCGUACAGCUGCCCUCCGGAGGAGUACCGGCCAGACAGGUGGGGCUCCGGGGGAGGAGACCCUCACGCCGUUUGAGCAGCGGGUGGUGGCGAUUAUUAUUAUAGGGUAAGUGGCAUGUCACACAAAUGUCCGCAUGCUUUGCCAUCCCACUGAGCAAAAGAUGUAUAUUAGACGUCUAGUCUAAGUUUAUACAUCAUUUCAACGUCGGGAUUCAGUCUAUUUUUGGACGUGAUUUAUACUUCGCCCUUAACUUCAUUUUUCGAUAACUUUUUAUGCAAUAAACAACUGUAAUGUGCAUAACUGACCUCUAAAUACUGGAUUACAUUACCUAUGAUACCGUGGAGAGAGAUGUAAACACAACAGAUACACAGAAGCAGGAAUUGGAAUGAACCAAUAUUUUUAUUGUGUCACAGAAAUCAAUGUGUCGGCCGUGUCGCCGGCUUGCGGAACCCCGGCCCGCGGCAG